ensembl:snRNA U6 U6 spliceosomal RNA
AUGCUCACUUUGACAGCAGAUAUACUAAAAUUAAAAUGAUGCAGAGAAGAUUACGAUGGUCUCUGUGCUAGAAUGACACAAAUUUGUGAAGUGUUCUAUAUUUAU